rnacentral:rRNA from 1 species
CCUACGGGGGGCAGCAGUCGGGAAACUUCUGCAAUGCGCGAAAGCGUGACAGAGCAAGCCAGAGUGCUUUUCCGUAUUGGAAAAGCUUUUGUGCGCUGCAAAAAGGCGUACGAAUAAGGACUGGGAGAGACUGGUGCCAGCCGCCGCGGUAAUCCCAGCAGUCCAAGUCGCAGCCACAUUUGUUGGGUCUAAAACAUCCGUAGCUUGCUAAGUAAGUCUCAUGUGAAAUCGGGCCUCUUAAGGGUCCGGCGGGCAUGAGAUACUGCAUAGCUUGAGACCGGGAGACGUGAGAGGUAGUCAGAGGGUAGCGGUAAAAUGUGUUGAUCCUCUGGUGACCAUCAAUAGCGAAGGCAUCUCACGAGAACGGAUCUGACAGUGAGGGAUGAAGGCUAGGGGCGCAAAGUGGAUUAGAUACCCCAGUAGUC